rnacentral:rRNA from 1 species
UGUUGCUAUCUUAGUGGCGGACGGGUGAGUAACGCGUGGGUAACCUGCCUUGCACUGGGGGAGUAACACUUAGAAAUAGGUGCUAAUACCGCAUAACAGGAGAAGACGCAUGUCUUUUCCUUAAAAACUCCGGUGGUGUAAGAUGGACCCGCGUCUGAUUAGCUUGUUGGCGGGGUAACGGCCCACCAAGGCAACGAUCAGUAGCCGGCCUGAGAGGGUGAACGGCCACAUUGGGACUGAGACACGGCCCAAACUCCUACGGGAGGCAGCAG